CGCUGGCGGCGUGCUUUACACAUGCAAGUCGAACGCGAAAAUUUUCCUCGGAAAGUGAGUAGAGUGGCGCACGGGUGAGUAACGCGUAAGUUAUCUACCUCGGCAUUCGGAAUAACUCACCGAAAGGUGUGCUAAUACCGGAUACGUUGAGUAAUCAAGAAAGGUGGCCUCUGAAUAUGCUACUGUGCUGAGAUGAGCUUGCGUACCAUUAGCUAGUUGGUAGGGUAAUGGCCUACCAAGGCAACGAUGGUUAGCGGGUCUGAGAGGAUGAUCCGCCACACUGGAACUGAAACACGGACCAGACUCCUACGGGAGGCAGCAGUGAGGAAUAUUGCACAAUGGGCGCAAGCCUGAUGCAGCAACGCCGCGUGAACGAAGAAGGCCUUCGGGUCGUAAAGUUCUUUUCUCGAGGAAGAAGAAAUGACGGUACUCGAGGAAUAAGCACCGGCUAACUACGUGCCAGCAGCCGCGGUAAUACGUAGGGUGCAAGCGUUAUCCGGAAUCACUGGGCGUAAAGGGUGCGUAGGCGGUUAGACAAGUCAGAAGUGAAAGGCAGUGGCUCAACCACUGUAAGCUUUUGAAACUGUUUAACUUGAAUGCAGGAGAGGCAAGUGGAAUUCCUAGUGUAGCGGUGAAAUGCGUAGAUAUUAGGAGGAACACCAGUGGCGAAGGCGACUUGCUGGACUGUAAUUGACGCCGAGGCACGAAAGCGUGGGGAGCAAACAGGAUUAGAUACCCUGGUAGUCC
rnacentral:rRNA from 1 species